GGCAGUGGUAGCUCAGUGGUUAAGACGUGGGACUACUGAUCGGCUGGUCAUGAGUUCAAUCCCCAGCACCCUGCCA